AGCUUUUGUUUCAUCAGUGGAGUGGUAGAGGCCAAUGACACAGGAUAUGAGAGUAUCAAUUCCGAUGACAAACUAGAUGUCAGUAAGCAGUGGAAGCUUUGAACACAACAAUGAACGGUGCUAGCUUUGUCGUUGCUUUAAUUGGCUGCUGGGAAUUAGUAUACUGGGCUAAAUCGCUGCAUUGUGGUUCUUCAUGAUAUCCAGAUGGAUCAGCUUGAUGCAUGAAUAUGAGGCUAAAAAGUUUAGGAUGGAUGAGCUGCUGUUAAGGGGCGUUAAUAAACUGCUCCCAGCAGUGAUUGUAAAGAUCAAGAACAGAGAUUAGCUUAAUAUAUGUUGCAACAAGGGGGAAGCUAGCUGCUGGAAUCAUAGCCUAGUCCUCAGG